rnacentral:rRNA from 1 species
UACGGGGGGGGCAAGCGUUGUUCGGAAUUACUGGGCGUAAAGGGCUCGUAGGCGGCCAACUAAGUCAGACGUGAAAUCCCUCGGCUUAACCGGGGAACUGCAUCUGAUACUGGAUGGCUUGAGAUUGGGAGAGGGAUGCGGAAUUCCAGGUGUAGCGGUGAAAUGCGUAGAUAUCGGAAGGAACACCUGUGGCGAAAGCGGCUCACUGGACCAUUACUGACGCUGAUGCACGAAAGCUAGGGGAGCAAACAGG